UCCAGCGUCCGUCGGGGAAGCAGUUGACAGCGGCAGUCAAGAGCAGGCCGAAGUGGGUAAACAAAACAAACAUAUGAAAAAAGAGCGAAAACAACCCACCAGCUGGAUUUAAUUUUACAUCCGAAGGAUGUGUAACAUGGUUCUAAUGCGGCUUGAACCCCGUUAAAGUAGAAAAUCGUCAGCAAAGAGAGGGCGUGUACCUGUCAAAGCUAAAUAGGUUAACCUAGCUAACGUGUGCUAGCACUCGCUCAGGUUAGCUAGCUAGUUGGCCAGCCAUGUCGUCCCCCUCCUCCUCCCGGCGCCAGUGGUGCUACCUGUGCGACCUGCCAAAGAUGCCGUGGACUGUGGUGUGGGACUUCAGCGAAGUCGUUUGCCGCGGCUGCGUGAACUACGAAGGAGCUAAUCAGAUUGAGUUUCUUAUAGCGAGUGCCCGACAGCUGAAACGAACUCAUGGGAUGCAGGAUGGUAACGUCAGGUCACCUGGUCCCUCACCCAAUAAACACGGCACAUCUGGCAGAGGAGAUGCGGACGGAGGCAGGCUGCACAUGGACCGCUUCGACAGGGGAGGAAGAGGAGAAAGUACCGUGUCAGCUAUUCGUGUGCCGCCAAACGGGCUGCACCGUGACGGCCAGCCACCUCAAGAAGUGAACCGUCAAAGCCCCAGCGGCAGCCGGAGACCCAUGCUAAGCGCUACCAUCCCUCCUAGUCUAGUAACUCAAAGUAUUGCAGGGAUUCCCCAUGGGCUACUUGCGGGCAUGCCGGCUGGUCUGACCGCUAGGACAGCCACUAUGAGCAACCCCAUGAUCUUCCCUGCCCCGGUGCUGGCCGAGAUGAGCCGCAGACAGCUGGGGAUAGGGAUGGGGAUAGCCCCUUUUAUCACUCCAGAGCUGGAGCGAGAGCUCAGUUCGUCCCAGAACCAGCCCAAGAAUCAGACACAGAUACACAAUGCUGUGGCAGGCAGCAGCGGCAGCAGGAGUACAGGACUCCCUUCUUCGUCCUCGACCCCGGCUGGAGGUGUGAGCCAGACCAGCCCCAAGCCUGCCUCAUCUCCAGCCAGGCAGCAACGCCCCCUAACUUCGAGGUCUGGAGGGGAGCCCCUGGGAUCCAGCACCUCAGCAGAGGCUGCCACAACAGCUGCAGCGUUACCCCACAGUGGUGCCUCUGAACUGGGAUCAGCAUCUGCCAGCAACACCCAUGCAACAGGAAACACUCUGUCCUGCACCUUGUGUCAUGAGAGGCUGGAAGACACACACUUUGUUCAGUGUCCAUCGGUGCCUGGGCAUAGGUUCUGCUUCCCCUGCACCAGAGUGUACAUCCAGAGCCGGCACGGCGAUGGGGAGGUUUACUGCCCCAGCGGAGAGCGCUGUCCGUUGGACAACUCUCCCAACAGUCCCCCUUGGGCCUUUAUGCAGGGAGAGGUCUCCACUAUACUGGGCUCUGCUGUAGCAGGAGCUGCAUCAGCUGCUGCAUCUGGAGCAGGGAACGGGCCCGGGCCUGGGCCUGGGCCUGGAGCUGGAGCUGCGUCCGGGGCCGGCAGUGGAGCUGCCAGUGGAGAUGUCACCGUCAAGAAAGAGAGAGAGACGUGAUGAGGAUUUCCAUGGUAACCAAGCCAGGACCUAAUUCAGCAACAGGCAGGUCCGCAUCAUCUGACCAUCGUAGUCUGAAGUCUGACAGCAUUAGUCGUACCGCACACCAGAAGGAGACGUCUGCAAUGGAGCUCUGAGAGAUCCAGAAGAGAAGCAACACGGCGACCCAAAGUUCAGAAAACUUCCAUUGCACAGGUCUUGACUCCAACGACUCACACCACCCAAUUCUAUCAACAUUAUCAGACGUAAUUGCCUUUAUGAUGUACUGUUGGAAUCAGAUAUUCAGGGCCAAUCAACCGCUGCUGAACACUGGCUACUUUUUAGGGUUAGUAGUAGUUGUGCCAGAUGAAACUGCUGAUCAUGCCCACAUUAGCACUGCCAGCUAGCGCCUGUUAGCAGCUGGAAAUAAACAGGCAGAGGCAACACAUAGACUCAACAGCUUUCAACAAGAUUGUCUCACUUUUCUACGAACAAAACUUCUUCCUGCAAAACUUACACCACCAUUGCAGUAAUGAUGCUAUACGUUUCAAAUAUUCACACCACAGCUUGAGUAUGCACCUUUAGAAACAACCAGUGCCAACAGGACUGCCCCAGUCACCAGUGUAGUCGUAUAUCAUUCUCAUUGGUGUUGUUUGCUAAAGGUAGCUAGCAUAGCUGCUAAUGGUAGCUUGUUAGCAGACCUCGUAUAGUGAUAUUUCUUGUUUUGAAUUACCGGUACCCUUAUCAAACUCACAGAAAGUAGCCAGGGUCCAGUGUCUAUGCUAACAGUACGAUCAGUAUUGAGUUUUCACAGCAAAGCACAAAAGCUUGUUUUGACAAAUCCAACAUAAAUGUUGAAAUGCUAAAACAGCGGCCGCGGUUGUUCCAUAUCUUUCUUGUCGAUGAACAGACUGUUGGCCGGCAGCAUGUUGCAGGAGGUCAGAUAUCAGACUGUUGGCUGUUCUGAGUCAAAACUAGUUGGAACUCGUCAUGCCAUUUUCUCUGCCAGUGCUUGGUCUAAAUAAAAUAUGUGUGUGUCUACAAAUGAAAAUUUACAUUAACAUCUGACAUGACAUUAACAGUUAUAAUGACAAAGUGUACCUUAAAUUUGAAAUGCAGAUGUAUUAUGUUUUGUUGUUUCAUGACUGAAUCUGUGUCCUGUCGCACAAUCAGACUCUUUUUCAAACAAAUAGAAAAACCUACAGCAUCUAAACAUGCAAACUGACAUGAGAUGUGGACUAAAUGCCAGUAGUGACAUUAUUCUGUGCGUCUGUCUGUGCUUUGUAUGUCCGCUUUAAAUAAAGCCAACUUUGACUCUGAGAAAAGAGUGUGUAGAAACAACCAGUUGAUCUGUCGAAGCAUAGACCAGCCACAGAGACUCUGUUUAACUGCAUUUCAUAGGAGAUCCAGCCCAGCCUACGCUUUACCCCGAAUGUAUAUGAAAGAUAUCUAUUGAUAGGCCUAGGACUAUAUUUUAUACUAGAAUGUUAAAUGUUAUAUACUGUAUAGAUCUAUAAUAGUUUGUGCAAUCCUUAGUCAUAGCAUAUGCAACAGUUUGUAAUAUGUAAUUAAAACGAUUUCUUGAACCUUUAGUUAUUUUUAAAGUGAGAAUCCACCUAAAAGCAGAAAUGUUCUUCUAUAAUCCUGAAAGGUUUAAUGUAGUUUAUGAAUUUCUCCCAAAAGUGGAGCCAAGACUUCUUAUCACCUGACACCUUUCUGGAAUAGAAGUAGAAGGUUUGAAAUCUUCAGCUUUGCAGACGGUGAAACAAACUUUAUUUUCCAUUCAUACUCAUUGACCCGGAUUUGGAUGGCCAUGCAUACUUUACACUUAAUCCAAACUUUAUUUGUCCGUUCCAAAAGAAUGUGCUGGGAUUUUUCCUGAAUUGAACAAUCCAACAUUUGUCACACGUUACGGAAAAAUGAUUGAAUGAUUUAUUUUGUGGAUUCUCUCUUUAUGUGCAGCAUGUACUCGACAGUACAGAAGCGCAGACAAACCAAAGGUAACUUUUUCCCAAAUUGAUGUUUCUUGAUGUAAAUGUUUUAUGGAAAAAAAAUCUCUAUAUAUUUCUUGGCCAGGUCUUAACCGGCUUUCUUCAUCAAGCCGUUACAGUUUACAGUUCCAUGUGGUCCACUGUACUAAUGGGAUGUUAUAUAUAUAGUAAAAGUCUAUAGUAUGCAGCAAAUACUUAUAUAGGCCUUCUAUAUAUUGAGAGUAUCCCACAGAUCAGGUGUGUUGUAGAAACAUGUAUUUGAAGAAGUGGAGUUUAAGUUUAAUAUGCACUGAUACGUCAUGCAAUCCCUUGUUAAGUGCCUUUAUAAAAUGUUUUAAUGUGUGUUUGUGUGUCUGGGAACCUCAGGGGAAGUAGGAGUGGAAUGGCUUUUUUAUUGUCUAGUCAAUGAUUAAGCUGUUUCCCUUCAAUUGCCAUCAGACGACUUUUGCUUUCAUCUGAAGUCAGGUCAGCCAUUCAUUGACUUGAUACAGUCUCCUCGCAUCUCUUCCUUUCAUUUAUGUGUCAUCUUUAGAUCUGUUUGGUUUUAUUGCAGCUUCUUGUACAAAAUAAAAACCAUGAAUAAAUGGGAUAGUAACUUGUA